rnacentral:rRNA from 1 species
AACCUCCGCAAUGUGAGAAAUCGCGACGGGGGGAUCCCAAGUGCCAUUCUUAACGGGAUGGCUUUUCAUUAGUGUAAAGAGCUUUUGGAAUAAGGGCUGGGCAAGACCGGUGCCAGCCGCCGCGGUAACACCGGCAGCUCUAGUGGUAGCAGUUUUUAUUGGGCCUAAAGCGUCCGUAGCCGGUUUAAUAAGUCUCUGGUGAAAUCCUGUAGCUUAACUGUGGGAAUUGCUGGAGAUACUAUUAGACUUGAGACCGGGAGAGGUUAGAGGUACUCCCAGGGUAGAGGUGAAAUUCUGUAACCCUGGGAGGACCGCCUGUUGCGAAGGCGUCUAACUGGAACGGUUCUGACGGUGAGGGACGAAAGUUAGGGGCGCGAACCGGAUUAGAUACCCGGGUAGUCCUAACUGUAAACGAUGCGGACUUGGUGUUGGGGUGGCUUUGAGCUGCUCCAGUGCCGAAGGGAAGCUGUUAAGUCCGCCGCCUGGGAAGUACGGUCGCAAGACUGAAACUUAAAGGAAUU